rnacentral:rRNA from 1 species
UUCUGGCUCAGGAUGAACGCUGGCGGCGUGCCGUAAUACAUGCAAGUCGAACGAGGUGGAUGGGAGCUUGCUCCUUGAUGCCUAGUGGCGAACGGGUGAGUAACACGUAGGUAACCUGCCCUUAAGCUUGGGAUACCCAGAGGAAACUUUGGCUAAUACCGGAUAACAACAGAGGAGGCAUCUCCUUUGCUUGAAAGGCCCUUUACGGGGUCACUUAAGGAUGGACCUGCGGCGCAUUAGCUAGUUGGUGAGGUAACGGCCCACCAAGGCGACGAUCAGUAGCCGGCCUGAGAGGGUGUACGGCCACAUUGGGACUGAGACACGGCCCAAACUCCUACGGGAGGCAGCAGUGGGGAAUAUUGGACAAUGGGGGAAACCCUGAUCCAGCCGACGCCGCGUGAACGAUGAAGUAUUUCGGUAUGUAAAGUUCUAUCAGCAGGGAAGAUAAUGACGGUACCUGACUAAGAAGCACCGGCUAAAUACGUGCCAGCCGCUGC